GCGGUAAGGCCUUUCGGGGUACACGAGCGGCGAACGGGUGAGUAACACGUGGGUGAUCUGCCCUGCACUUCGGGAUAAGCCUGGGAAACUGGGUCUAAUACCGGAUAUGACCUCCUAUCGCAUGGUGGGUGGUGGAAAGAUUUAUCGGUGCAGGAUGGGCCCGCGGCCUAUCAGCUUGUUGGUGGGGUAAUGGCCUACCAAGGCGACGACGGGUAGCCGACCUGAGAGGGUGACCGGCCACACUGGGACUGAGACACGGCCCAGACUCCUACGGGAGGCAGCAGUGGGGAAUAUUGCACAAUGGGCGAAAGCCUGAUGCAGCGACGCCGCGUGAGGGACGACGGCCUUCGGGUUGUAAACCUCUUUCAGCAGGGACGAAGCGCAAGUGACGGUACCUGCAGAAGAAGCACCGGCUAACUACGUGCCAGCAGCCGCGGUAAUACGUAGGGUGCAAGCGUUGUCCGGAAUUACUGGGCGUAAAGAGUUCGUAGGCGGUUUGUCACGUCGUUUGUGAAAACUCACAGCUCAACUGUGAGCCUGCAGGCGAUACGGGCAGACUUGAGUACUGCAGGGGAGACUGGAAUUCCUGGUGUAGCGGUGAAAUGCGCAGAUAUCAGGAGGAACACCGGUGGCGAAGGCGGGUCUCUGGGCAGUAACUGACGCUGAGGAACGAAAGCGUGGGUAGCGAACAGGAUUAGAUACCCUGGUAGUCCACGCC
rnacentral:rRNA from 1 species